UACGUAGGGUGCAAGCGUUUAAUCGGAAUACUGGGCGUAAAGCGUGCGCAGGCGGCUUUGCAAGACAGAUGUGAAAUCCCCGGGCUUAACCUGGGAACUGCAUUUGUGACUGCAUGGCUGGAGUGCGGCAGAGGGGGAUGGAAUUCCGCGUGUAGCAGUGAAAUGCGUAGAUAUGCGGAGGAACACCGAUGGCGAAGGCAGUCCCCUGGGCCUGCACUGACGCUCAUGCACGAAAGCGUGGGGAGCAAACAGG
rnacentral:rRNA from 1 species